AUGCGCAAGGGAGGAAACGGUUUCUACUUCAUCAAUAAGGAGACAAGCGCUGAUUCAAUCAGGGAAAACAAUUCCAAAAAUUCUCAUCGGAUGGCUGAUACAGCAAGAAUAACUAAAACAGAGACAUCAAAGUUGAAGAACGUCAUUUCAGCAUCAUUCAAACCCUUGUCUCUUACCAUUCCCAUAGGAGACGGAUUUCACGAAUCGUUCCAUUCGAGCCAUUGCUAUUUAUAG
rnacentral:rRNA from 1 species